rnacentral:hammerhead_ribozyme from 1 species
AUCCAGCUGACGAGUCCCAGAUAGGACGAAACGCUUGUCCUAGAU